rnacentral:rRNA from 1 species
AUUGAACGCUGGCGGCAGGCCUAACACAUACAAGUCGAACGAGUGGCGGACGGGUUAGUGAUGUCUGGGAAACUGCCUGAUGGAGGGGGAAAACUACUGGAACCGGUAGCUAAUACCGCAUACCAUCGGAUGUGCCCAUAUGGGAUUAGCUAGUUGUGGGGGUAAAGGCUCACCUAGGGGACGAUCCCUAGCUGGUCUGAGAGGAUGACCAGCCACACUGGAACUGAGACACGGUCCAGACUCCUACGGGAGGCAGCAGUGGGGAAUAUUGCACAAUGGGCGCAAGCCUGAUGCAGCCAUGACGCGUGUAUGAAGAAGGCCUUCGGGUUGUAAAGUACUUUCAUCGGGGAGGCGUUACCCGCAGAAGAAGCACCGGCUAACUCCGUGCCAGCAGCCGCGGUAAUUC